UACAGAGGCCUCAAGCGUUAGGCGGAAUCACUGGGCUUAAAGCGUGUGUAGGCGGGUCGUUAAGUACCUUGUGAAAUCCCACGGCUUAACUGUGGAACGGCUUGGUAUACUGGCGAUCUUGAGCCACUUAGGGGCUACCGGAACAGAUGGUGGAGCGGUGAAAUGCGUAGAGAUCCGGAGGAACACCGACGGCGCAGGCAGCGUCCUGGCCGCUUGCUGACACUGAGGCACGAAAGCUGGGGGAGCAAACAGG
rnacentral:rRNA from 1 species